rnacentral:rRNA from 1 species
AGUCAAGUAAUUAAGUGCAUGUGGUGGAUGCCUUGGCAGUCAGAGGCGAUGAAAGACGUGAUAGCCUGCGAAAAGCUCCGGGGAGGCGGCAAAUAUCCUUUGAUCCGGAGAUGUCUGAAUGGGGGAACCCACCUACUUUAAGGUAGGUAUUGCAACAUGAAUACCAUAGUGUUGCAAGGCGAACGAGGGGAAGUGAAACAUCUCAGUACCCUUAGGAAAAGAAAUCAAUUGAGAUUCCCUCAGUAGCGGCGAGCGAACGGGGAUCAGCCCAUUAAGUUAUGUGUGUUUUAGUGGAACGCUCUGGGAAGUGCGAACGUAGAGGGUGAUAUUCCCGUACACGAAAGGGCACACAUAAUGAUGACGAGUAGGGCGAGGCACGUGAAACCUUGUCUGAAUAUGGGGGGACCAUCCUCCAAGGCUAAAUACUCCUGACUGACCGAUAGUGAACCAGUACCGUGAGGGAAAGGCGAAAAGAACCCCUGUGAGGGGAGUGAAAUAGAUCCUGAAACCGCAUGCAUACAAGCAGUGGGAGCACCUUCGUGGUGUGACUGCGUACCUUUUGUAUAAUGGGUCAGCGACUUAUAUUCAGUAGCGAGGUUAACCGUAUAGGGGAGCCGUAGAGAAAUCGAGUCUUAAUAGGGCGUUUAGUUGCUGGGUAUAGACCCGAAACCAGGCGAUCUAUCCAUGAGCAGGUUGAAGGUUGGGUAACACUAACUGGAGGACCGAACCCACUGUCGUUGAAAAGCCAGGGGAUGACUUGUGGAUAGGGGUGAAAGGCUAAUCAAGCCUGGUGAUAGCUGGUUCUCCCCGAAAGCUAUUUAGGUAGCGCCUCGGACGAAUACCAUAGGGGGUAGAGCACUGUUUCGGCUAGGGGGUCAUCCCGACUUACCAAACCGAUGCAAACUCCGAAUACCUAUGAGUACUAUCCGGGAGACAGACUGCGGGUGCUAACGUCCGUAGUCAAGAGGAAAACAAUCCAGACCGCCAGCUAAGGCCCCAAAAUCAUAGUUAAGUGGGAAACGAUGUGGGAAGGCAUAGACAGCUAGGAGGUUGGCUUAGAAGCAGCCACCCUUUAAAGAAAGCGUAAUAGCUCACUAGUCGAGUCGGCCUGCGCGGAAGAUGUAACGGGGCUAAAACUAUGUGCCGAAGCUGCGGAUGUAUACUUUGUAUACGUGGUAGGGGAGCGUUCUGUAAGCCGAUGAAGGUGUGUUGAGAAGCAUGCUGGAGGUAUCAGAAGUGCGAAUGCUGACGUGAGUAACGACAAAACGGGUGAAAAACCCGUUCGCCGAAAGACCAAGGGUUCCAGUCCAACGUUAAUCGGGGCUGGGUGAGUCGACCCCUAAGGCGAGGCCGAAAGGCGUAGUCGAUGGGAAAAUGGUUAAUAUUCCAUUACUUCUGUGUAAUGCGAUGAGAGGACGGAGAAGGCUAAAUCAGCCUGGCGUUGGUUGUCCAGGUGAAAGGAUGUAGGCAUGUAUCUUAGGCAAAUCCGGGGUACUCUAUGCUGAGAUCUGAUAGCAAGCUGUACUUGUACAGCGAAGUGGUUGAUGCCAUGCUUCCAGGAAAAGUCUCUAAGCUUCAGUUACACAGGAAUCGUACCCGAAACCGACACAGGUGGUCAGGUCGAGUAGACCAAGGCGCUUGAGAGAACUCUGCUGAAGGAACUAGGCAAAAUGGUACCGUAACUUCGGGAGAAGGUACGCUGUUGUUGGUGAUGGAACUCGCUUCCUGAGCUGACGACAGCCGCAGAAACCAGGCCGCUGCAACUGUUUAUUAAAAACAUAGCACUCUGCAAACACGAAAGUGGACGUAUAGGGUGUGAUGCCUGCCCGGUGCUGGAAGGUUAAUUGAUGGGGUUAGCGUAAGCGAAGCUCUUGAUCGAAGCCCCAGUAAACGGCGGCCGUAACUAUAACGGUCCUAAGGUAGCGAAAUUCCUUGUCGGGUAAGUUCCGACCUGCACGAAUGGCAUAAUGAUGGCGGCGCUGUCUCCAGCAGAGGCUCAGUGAAAUCGAAAUCGCUGUGAAGAUGCAGUGUACCCGCGGCUAGACGGAAAGACCCCGUGAACCUUUACUGCAGCUUGACACUGAACUUUGACCUUACUUGUGUAGGAUAGGUGGGAGGCUUUGAAGCUGGAACGCUAGUUCCAGUGGAGCCGUCCUUGAAAUACCACCCUGGUAAUGUUGAGGUUCUAACUCUGUCCCGUGAUCCGGGACGAGGACCGUGUCUGGUGGGUAGUUUGACUGGGGCGGUCUCCUCCUAAAGAGUAACGGAGGAGUACGAAGGUGCGCUCAGCGUGGUCGGAAAUCACGCGUAGAGUAUAAAGGCAAAAGCGCGCUUAACUGCGAGACCCACAAGUCGAGCAGGUACGAAAGUAGGUCUUAGUGAUCCGGUGGUUCUGUAUGGAAGGGCCAUCGCUCAACGGAUAAAAGGUACUCUGGGGAUAACAGGCUGAUACCGCCCAAGAGUUCAUAUCGACGGCGGUGUUUGGCACCUCGAUGUCGGCUCAUCUCAUCCUGGGGCUGAAGCAGGUCCCAAGGGUAUGGCUGUUCGCCAUUUAAAGAGGUACGCGAGCUGGGUUUAGAACGUCGUGAGACAGUUCGGUCCCUAUCUACCGUGGGCGCUGGAAAUUUGAGAGGAUCUGCUCCUAGUACGAGAGGACCAGAGUGGACGAACCUCUGGUGUACCGGUUGUGACGCCAGUCGCAUCGCCGGGUAGCUAUGUUCGGAAGGGAUAACCGCUGAAAGCAUCUAAGCGGGAAGCCUACCUCAAGAUAAGAUUUCCCUAGGACUUUAUGUCCUCUAAAGAGCCGUUCGAGACUAGGACGUUGAUAGGUUGGAUGUGGAAGCAUAGUGAUAUGUGAAGCUGACCAAUACUAAUUGCUCGUGAGGCUUGACUAU